rnacentral:lncRNA from 1 species
UUCUUCCCCUUUAGGGGACUUCUUCCCCUAAAGGGGAAGAACACAUAGUUCUUUAUUUGGUUCCCCUAAAGAAGACUUACCCCCAAAGUCUUCUUCUUCCCCUAAAGGGGAACUAAAGUUCCCCUUUAGGGGAAGAAGAAGAACACCAAAGUCUUCCCCUUCGUUUUCUUCCCCUUUAGGGGAAGAAGGGGUUCCCCUUCGGGGAGCCAAAGUCUCUUCUUCUUCCCCUAAAGGGGACUCCGUCUUCUUUAGUUCCCCUAAAGGGGAUGAAGAAGUGUUCCCCAUCGGGGAGACGAAGGGGGUUCCCCUAAAGGGGAAGAACACACCCCUUUAGGGGAAGACUUUGGUUCCCCUUUAGGGGAUGACGAUGAAGACAACCCCGAAGGGUGACCAAAGGUUCCCCAAAGAAGAUGACAAGGAAGCCAAUCCGUAAGAGUAUUGUAGCUUAACUACGUAAAAUUCCCCUUUCGGGAAAGAAAAAGUAAAACCAUGUAGCAUUUCUAAAAACAUUUUUAACGAAUAGGCCCCCGCCAAAGCUACUCAUUAAAAUGGGCUUUGCUGAUCCUCCAAACUAUGUCUAGAUCCUAGUAAAACUGCCAAUAAUGUUUAGGUUGUUUUUUAUAACGUUUUAAUCCGUAAAAUAACUAAAAAAUUCUAUGGGGCGAAAACGAGAAAAUUCUUUACAAGUUUUUAUUUAUUAUUAAGUAUAUUUAUCAAGUAAUGGUACCUUAAUGUAACAGCCGUCUCUUACCUUAGCUGUUUUAGCGGAAGUAGAGGGUCUCGUCCACGAUUGGCGACCCAGCGUUAGGCGUGAGAAGAGAC